rnacentral:rRNA from 1 species
UAAUACGGAGGGUGCAAGCGUUAAUCGGAAUUACUGGGCGUAAAGCGCACGCAGGCGGUCUGUCAAGUCGGAUGUGAAAUCCCCGGGCUCAACCUGGGAACUGCAUUCGAAACUGGCAGGCUAGAGUCUUGUAGAGGGGGGUAGAAUUCCAGGUGUAGCGGUGAAAUGCGUAGAGAUCUGGAGGAAUACCGGUGGCGAAGGCGGCCCCCUGGACAAAGACUGACGCUCAGGUGCGAAAGCGUGGGGAGCAAACAGGAUUAGAUACCCUGGUAGUCCACGCCGUAAACGAUGUCGACUUGGAGGUUGUGCCCUUGAGGCGUGGCUUCCGGAGCUAACGCGUUAAGUCGACCGCCUGGGGAGUACGGCCGCAAGGUUAAAACUUAAAUGAAUUGACGG